GCUCCUGGGUCUGUUGCCUCUUGCUGUGCCUUGGACGCUGUAGCCUUUUAAGAACUCUUUCUGUCUUGGUUACGGUCCUGUGGGACCCACGAGUGUAAGCCCACUUGCCGCCAGAGCCAGGUGUCCCCUGGCGGCAGCCGCAAAAACCAGGACAUCAGACAUAAAACUGAGGCCCCAAGCGCGUUGGAAAGCUCUCCUCCAGGAGACAUGCGCUCUAGAGCGCACAGAGGGAGAGUGGGAAGAUGGCGCCUGCCAGUCUCCAACGGAGAGCUAUCAGCAGGCCCCUAGAUGUGUGUCAAAUCAGAUGCUUGUCCCUCAGGCCCAUACUCCACGACCAGCAGACCGGCCUCUCCCGCCAAGUGCAGGAGUGAACCGCCAUUUUGGAGAGGGGCCCACAUGUGAGGGAACAGCAGAUGGUAUCUAUCAGCUGAAGGCCAGAGUCCAAAAACCACAAGGAAUUGAAUUCCGCGAACAACCACAUGUUCUGAGAAGAGGAUCAAGAGCCUCCAGCCCUGACCAGCACCUCCAAUGCAGCCUUGUAGGCCCUGAACAGAGGAUCCAGUUAACGUGUACCUGUAACCUCAGAAGUGGAAGAUUCGCCCUGAGCUAACUACUGCCAAUCCUCGUCUUUUUGCUGAGGAAGACUGGCCCUGAGCUAACAUCCGUGCCCAUCUUCCUCUACUUUAUAUGCGGGAUGCCUACCACAGCAUGGCUUGCCAAGUGGUGCCAUGUCCGUACCCGGGAUGAACUGGCGAACCCCGGGCCGCCAAGAAGCAGAAUGUGCGAACUUAACCGCUGCGCCACUGGGCCGGCCCCCUACUCCUUUUUUUAAUAUCUGUGUUCUUCAUAAUAAUUUUUGGAAAAACAUUAGCUAACAGACAAAGAUAAUUUUUUGUGCAGGACCUGUAUAACCUUAAUAUAGUGCAAUGUUGUUACCUAUGUUCUGAUUUCACAGACAGCUUAAUGAGUAGCACAUAGAAGUGCAGAAACUCUUCACAUAGUAAGUUCCAAUAAUCUGAUAAUCACUACAUCUAUGACUAUUAGGACCUUCCUCCCGGUGCUGUUGGGAAACAUUGAGUUUACACCUUUAAAACACUAGAAACAGUUGUGGCACAUACUUAACCUUUAAUGAAUGUUGGAAAUUAUUAUUGUUAUCAUCUACAUCAUGUCUUUAACAAGGUUUAGAUCUUUUCAGUGAAACUCUGCUUUAAUACAAGUGUUUUAGUAUUAUUCAUUAUACUUUCUUAAAGUUCUGUCUUUAAGGCAGCACUACUGAAUUAAGUUUUAAUUAAACACCCAAUGAUGAUAUUCCAUAAGCUUCCAUUUUCCAAAAUGUAAAGAAGUAUGUUUUCAAUCACGGUCAUUCUUAGUUUGCAGUAUUGCCUGGAAAUGAGCUUUCUAUCUAAACCACACUGGCUUGUAUAUGAAAAAAUAAUCAUAAAUAGGUUUUGAUGGGUCUUUGCAAAAUAUAACCAAUUAUUGAUUUGAAAUCCUGCUUAGCCAGAACAGAACACUGUAAUCAAUUACAUUUGAGGGUCUAACCUAUAGAUAGAAGACAUGAAAAAGCUGAGUUAAUGACUUUUUCAGCUGGCCAAAUGAUAUCCCUGGGGGCGAAAUGUAAUCCUCAGACUGUCAGUAAUUUCCAUUUGUUGCUGCCACACUUGUUACUGGGGGAACGGAGCUUCCUAUUGCUGAGCCAACAGGCUCCUCCAGACCAGCACUUAAGUUUCCAAAAUAAAAGACCAAUGCAAGCCAUUUUGUCUCUCUCUUCCAAAUACUACUGAUCUUCCUAUUUCCAUGGUAACCGACUCCUGCUGGCGUGAUCAAGAAAAAACUGAUUUGGGAUUUUAAUUAAUUGCUUAGAAAUGGAAAUGUAACAGGGACUGGCAGUUCAACUGAGCACAUUUUGCAAAGUGAAUAAAAAUAGAGUUUCUGAAAUACUUGAAAUUGUUUCAGUGGCUGUAGCACAUCUUUUGCUAGACACCUUAAUUUAUUCCAUUCUCCAGAAUAAAUCUGCCAAAUGCACUAAGCCAUUUUGUCAACACAAAUCAUUUUGGCAAAUACUUUAAUCCCUCUUUUAAACAAAAUGCAUUGUAAUUUUAAAAAUCUAACCCAUCAGUGUGAACCCACUGGGUCCCAUCUGAAAAUACUCCUGAGAUAUUAGUAGAUCAUAUUUAAAGGAGCUGUCAUCUCCUAUUUGUAAAGGAGAGCCCUAUCCUUGUUGCCUGCUUAGGGGUAAAUUCCUGGAACUUCACCCACCAUAGCAGUGGCUCCUACCAUUUGUAGGAAAGAAAACCUUAAAGUCCCCUCCUUGCACAGAGGCUAAAAGCAUGGACUCUGGA
ensembl:lncRNA